CAUAAGUUGGCGGAGUGGUUAACGCGAUGCCCUGCUAUGGAUUCGUCCAAGCUGUCAGGCAUUUCCUUCGGGAGCGUGUGUUCGAAUCACACAGGUGUCG